rnacentral:antisense_RNA from 1 species
AUUAAGAGACUAGGAUCUGGGCCAGGCAUGGUGGCUCACACCUGUAAUCCCAGCAUUUUGGGAGGCCGACGUGGGAGGAUCACGAGGUCAGGAGUUCGAGACUAGCUUGGCCAACACGGGGCUUCAUCAGAUUGCUAAAGGGGUCCGCGAAACAAUGGAGCCAAGGAACCUUGGUGUUAAGACACAGAUCCAGAACACGUGAGACCACACUUGUGGUGAAGAAAGCCUGUGGUUCCAGAGAAUCAAAGCCAGGUGACCAAGAGCAGAUGCUGAUGCCAGGGGAAGACAAGAGGGAGCUGGAGGAGUGAAGAUAAGGAAAGUCACAAGGACAAUAAGGAGUAAAGCCUGGACUUGAACUUCUGAUGACAAGCUUCCGCUUUGCCUCACAGCCUCUUAGACCAAGAUCCAAAUGAGUAAAACACACACAAAAGAGACAGGUAUCACCAUGAGCUCGUGUGGCCAAGAAGCCUUUGUAUUGACUGAACUUACCUUGGAUGUAAAUGCAUGUACAGUAAUAAGUUUCAACUUUUUUUAAGACACUUUAUUCCUAAAACAUGGAAAGGUCAGCAUCAGCCAAUAGAUUGAGAAUUUGCAUUGUCUGAGUUAAGGAAAGCAUCUUGCAUUUUCUGGAGCACUGAGCAUCUCGUCUUGAACCUUCUGAGUUCUGGGAAGCUCCAAAUUCAUUUGCUGAAGCAAGAAGGAAAAACAAUUCUUGGAGGGAAUCUGAAAGAGAAUGAGACUGCACUGCCAAUGGUCUUCUGGUCAACCCUGGCCUGUGCGACUCCACAUGGGUCCUGUCCAUCACACUCUGCUCAUGAGAAAAUGCCCAAGAAAUACCCACAAGUUUUAAGCAAAGAAACUCCGCUUCACUGGAGAUGUGCUGUUAUUUGUGAGACCGCCAUGCCAACCUAAUAUUGCUGAACAAAAAUAUUGACUUCCAGACAACACUGAAUAGAAGUUUUGGUGAUGGGCAUCUGUGAUGGCUGUUAUUAUACGCUGCCUAGAUUCUUUGGAAAUGAAGGACUCAUGCCUACAGCUACUGAGAGUGCUACCUGAAGACAACCCUCAGCUUUAAGCCCUUUUCAGGGAUUGUCUUGCUUGAAAAAAGCUGUCUCACACAAGGGAACCUACUCUCAGAUGUGAGCUAAUUAGUGAGCUGCACAUCAAAAGAAGUGAAGUGUAUCUUGUAAAUAGGAUUUCAUUUAAAACAGAUCAAAGAAAGAUCUACUGAAUCACUCCCUCAUCCACUGAUUUCUCCAAGCAUCAGGCAGACGGUGAAGAGAACAACAAGUCACGAGAAUGAUAAACAUAGCUCCAAAGAACAACUGUGAUGCUCAAGUCAAAUAUUAAUGAGAAGAGAGAACCAAAUAUAUCCAGGGGUGGAAUUAUACUUCCUGGGACAUGCAUGGUUGGGUUUCUGAUGUAGGCCAGGAGGGCAGUAAUCUGUGUUUGUGACCCAGUCUACUUCUAAAAAUACAAGUUUAGAAAUAA